ACUGGUUCUUUCUCUUUCUUAGGGAUAUAAAUGCUAGGAAACUUUCCACUCAAUGAAUCAAUUAAAUCCCUAGCUUCACUAGCAGGUAGGUGAUAAAAGGAUCCUCUAGAGGCUGUAUUUAUGGUUUGCUUAUUUUCCCUACUAAGGCCCUCAAAAAAGUGAAUUAGAAGAACUUCUUCUGGAAUAGAAAGCUUUGGGCCAGUGAGAGUAAGGUUAAUAAAGCGGUCCCAUGAUUUGCCAAUAUAUUCUUCUUCAAGUUGUCUAAAAGAAAUAAUCUCACGCCGAAGUUCUGCCACUUUGG
rnacentral:lncRNA from 1 species